GCCGGGUUUCCGGCGUCAAAAAGCACGGUCCGCCCUUCUGUAGACUGCCAAGAAGGGCAAAGAUGGCUGCUGGAAGUAGAGCAUUUGCCUAGCAUGUGCAGAUCUCUGGGGUCAAUCUCAACGUCGAUGAUGAAGAGGAGCAAGAGGGAUGCCGAUGUAACUCAGAAGAGUGCUUGCCAAGAGGCAGAAAGCCCUUUGUUCCAGUCCCUCCACUGCAUAAGCCAGGCAUUGGCGCACUCCCGUACCCCAGCAUUCAGGCAGGAGGAUCAAGAGUUCAAGGAUGGGGUACAGCUUGCCCUGGAAGUCAGCCUGGAAGGUGUAGAGUAUCCGCAGAUCAUCGGGGCGGUCAGCAUCGAAGAAAGUGAGUUCACCUUGCUCAUAGUGCCUAUCAGCCAUACACCGUGCUCUGGGGACUUGCUCAGCUUGCCCUUGCGGCUGGCCGUGCCCUUGAUGACUCCCAGGCGCCAAUCGCUCUUGCUGCCCACCACCACCUCCCAGUAGUGGCGACCCCAAGAGAAGCCCUUGCUGGCCAGGACACAGGUGCUGUAGUCGAAGCGCUCGGGCUGGCUGGCCCGCCUCUGGGUGCCCUCUAAGUUCCCUAUGUGCCUUUUGGUGCCAUCAAUGAACUGAAAGGGUGACGAUUUGAAGCCUCACCUGGCAGAACUUUCCGGAAGAGUCUCUUCCACACAGUCAGUUUGAUGUCGGCCUGGUGGAGACCCGGCUUGAAGGAUAUCGGGCUGAACGCGCCUUCCAAAGGCCGGGCCUGCUGGACCUCUGCCCUGUGUGCAUGAGUUUCAAUGGUGGGGAGCUCUACAUUAAGGCUGUCUCCCACCCUCCUUCCCCUGUGGGAGUCCACAGAGACAGAUUCACCACUCAGGCCACACAUUCAUGAUACCACCAUCCCUCUCCUCACACCUCCUUCCUAGGAACACGCCUGCUGCCUAGGAUUGGGAUUGUGGAGAGCUGAGGAAGCCCUGAGUGAAUGUGCAGAGUACAGAAGAAGUCUUGAGUGACUAUGAUGGUUGACAUGGGCAUGGCCAGGUCAGAGACCUCGAUGCCUCAGACCCAUGGAAUGGCAAAGCCUUCCUCUUGUCCCAGUACAAAUGUUGUCAGUGUGUAAAAGUCCAAGUGUUCACAAAAGAUUGACCAGUGUAUGCAAAACCUGCAGCUUCCUCCUCCUAGAUGUUAGCAGUUUGAGACUGAGGACCUACAGACACCGCCUACCAACAGUAUGUAAGCCCGACCACCACCCUGCAUAUAUUAUACUGCAUAUAAUAAACAUGCUGAGGUUCCAGGUUGCUUCAUAGUGCAUGCCAUCACCUCAGAGUGUGCUUGUCCCACCUAACACCAGCUUUCCUGUGUGUCUAUGGACUUGCUCUUUCUGCAUUCCUUCACUGCCCAGGCAAGUUUCCAGAACCAAGCCACUCUGGACACAGUGGGAGAUGCUGCAUGGCUGCCCUUACGGAUGGUCUUGGAAGUGUCCUCCACAGGCUCAUGCUGUGAAGUUGGUCCCCAGAUGGUAGUACUAGCAGAAAGAGGUGGGGCCUGGCUGGUGGAAACAGGUCACAGUAGCAGGUCUUUGAAGGUCAUCCCCACCUCUGGCUUCAGCCUUAUCUCUCAACUCCCUAUCUGCCACCACGUGAACAAGCCCACGCUCCCACUGCCAUAAAUACUGUUGAACCUUC